UACGAAGGUGGCAAGCGUUGUUCGGAUUCACUGGGCGUACAGGGUGUGUAGGCGGUUUGGUAAGCCUUCUGUUAAAGCUUCGGGCCCAACCCGGAAAGCGCAGAGGGUACUGCCAGGCUAGAGGACGGGAGAGGAGCGCGGAAUUCCCGGUGUAGCGGUGAAAUGCGUAGAGAUCGGGAGGAAGGCCGGUGGCGAAGGCGGCGCUCUGGAACGUUACUGACGCUGAGACACGAAAGCCAGGGGAGCGAACGGG
rnacentral:rRNA from 1 species